CAGCCAGUGCCCUACACAAUACAAGAUGCCACUGUAGGAAGAGGGAUGACCUCUAGCAAGGUGGCCCCUCAGUGGGCCAGAUGGGGCUUCUGAAGAGAAUUUCUCUAGCUUCUUGGUGUUUCCUGCCUGCUACUUUCAAACAAAGAUCCCGGUUUUAAUGUUCUCCCAGUAAUAUUUUAUGAAUCUUAUUGCCAAUCAGAGGGCUAAAUCAACACCAGAGGCCCCGUGAUCGAUAUAUAUGAUCAGGAUGUCACAUCCUGGUGUCCUUGCCCCAAGUCUUGAUGUGAAUCUGACCACGAGGACAAUUCAGACAACCCAAAAUGGUCAGACAUUCUACAAAUAAACAUGAAAUGUCAUGAAAGACA